rnacentral:rRNA from 1 species
AACGAACGCUGGCGGCAGGCUUAACACAUGCAAGUCGAACGCCCCGCAAGGGGAGUGGCAGACGGGUGAGUAACGCGUGGGAAUCUACCCAGUUCUACGGAACAACACAGGGAAACUUGUGCGAAUACCGUAUACGCCCUAAGGGAUUUAUCGGAAUUGGACGAGCCCGCGUUGGAUUAGCUAGUUGGUGGGGUAAUGGCCUACCAAGGCGACGAUCCAUAGCUGGUCUGAGAGGAUGAUCAGCCACACUGGGACUGAGACACGGCCCAGACUCCUACGGGAGGCAGCAGUGGGGAAUAUUGGACAAUGGGCGCAAGCCUGAUCCAGCCAUGCCGCGUGAGUGAUGAAGGCCUUAGGGUUGUAAAGCUCUUUCAGUAGGGACGAUAAUGACGGUACCUACAGAAGAAGCCCUGGCUAACUUCGUGCCAGCCGCCGCCGUAAAAC